rnacentral:rRNA from 1 species
UUGAAAAAUUUUUAUAUAAAAAGAAAAAUUAAUUAUUUGUACCUUGUGUAUCAGGGUUUAUUAAAUAAUUAAUAAAAAUAUUUAUUAAUCUCGAUUUUAUAAGAGUUAAUAAUUUAAUAAAGUUAAUGUAUCAUAAUUAUUUUUUAUAAAUUAUUGGAAAUGAAAUGUUAUUCGUUUAUAAAGGUAUCUAGUUUUUUUAGAAAUAAAUUAAAUUUAUAAAUUUUUAAUUUUAUUAAUUAUUUUAUUAGUUAAUAAAUUUAUUAAUUUUAAUAUUUUAAGGGAUAAGCUUUAAAAUAAAUUAUUAUAAAUUUAAUUAAAUAAAUUAUUUAAAAUAUAUGCAUAGAAUUAGCAAUUAUGAUAAAAUUUGUUAUAAAUUAUUUUAUUUAUAUAUUAUUUAUUAAUAUUUUAAUUUUUUAUAAAAAUAUUUUUUUUAAUUAAAAUUAAAAAGAAAUAAUGAUAAAAUUAGUAUAUAAAUUAUGUAAAAAUAAUUUUAUUUGAUAAGUUUAUAUAAAGAACUCGGCAAAUAUUUUACUCGCCUGUUUAACAAAAACAUGUCUUUUUGAGUUAUUUUUAAAGUCUAACCUGCCCACUGAAUUAUUUUUAAUGGCCGCAGUAAUUUGACUGUGCAAAGGUAGCAUAAUAAUUAGUCUUUUAAUUGAAGGCUUGUAUGAAUGGUUGGACGAAGUAUAAUCUGUUUCAUUUAAAUUUAUUAUAAAAUUUUAUAUUUUAGUAAAAAAGCUAAAAUUUUUUUAAAAGACGAGAAGACCCUAUAAAUCUUUAUAAUUUAAAUUUAAUUUUAUUUUUUUGAUUUAUUUUAUUUUAAUAAUUUAAAUUAUUUUAUUGGGGUGAUGUUAAAAUUUAAAUAACUUUUAAUUUUUUUUAAAUCAUUAAUUUAUGAUUUAUUGAUCCAUUAAUAAUGAUUAUAAGAAUAAGUUACUUUAGGGAUAACAGCGUAAUUUUUUUGGAGAGUUCUUAUUGAUAAAAAAGUUUGCGACCUCGAUGUUGGAUUAAGAUAUAAUUUUAGGUGUA